GAUGAAGAUAAGCGUAACAUGAUUUAUGAACGUCUUUUGUUUCCUAUUUGUGACAUAAACGAAUCAGAACAUUUACAAUAUUAUAAUGAUUGUAUCAACAGUCGUAACAAUAAAAAGAAUAGUAAUAACAUUGAAGAUAUUGUUAAUUGUAAUAAAGAUGGAAGUAAUAAUAAUAAUAUAUUUGAAAACUCAGAAGAAGAUGGUACGUUUUCAAAUAUCUACAAUAAUGCUAAAAAAAUAAGUAACGUAUCAACAUGUCCUAGCUUAGGGAAAAUAUAUGACAAUCGUCAUUACUCGGUUAACGAAAAAAAUAAAAAUAAAUUAUUAACAUGUCCAGAAUAUAAGGUAAUAAAACAAUAUGAUAAUACUAUUACUACUAUUACUGACCAUAAUAAUAAAAUAAGGGAUAAUAAAAAUAUAGAUCAUAUGAAAAAGAGAGUUGUUGAACAUGCAAAAAAAAAAGAAAAUGUAAUGAUGAACAAGUCAUGUGAGUGUUUCUGUUACAAAGAUGAAAAAUGUGAAUAUGAUAAGAACAAUAUUCAUGAGAAACGCAGUAGUUAUAAUAAAUAUAGUACAUGUGACAAUUGUAAUACCAUUUAUAAACGUAACAGUUAUGAUACAAUAAGUCACAGUAAUACACAUAACAACAACCAGAGUUCACCAUACUGUUACUUUAAUAAUAUGAAUACUAACAAAGAUUUUAUACAGACACACAACAAGUAUAUUCCUCAUUUGAAUACAACAAAAAAUAUGGCACAUACAGACGACAUAAAAUAUAUACAGCUGAACUAUAACAAUAGUGAUUUAAAAGAAGAAGAAGAAGAAGAAGAAGAAGAAAAAAAAAAAAACUAUAACAACAAAAUUUUGUAUAAUAAAAAUAUAUAUAAAAAUGGUAUACAUACAAAUAAAAAAUACAAUAAAAAAUUACUAAGGUCUUCUUCUGUUUCGGUUUCUUCUUCUUGUGUUUAUAAUAAUGACAUGAACAACAAAUCGAAAAUAACAAAUGAAAAAAAUAUUUUAUAUGAUAUAAAUAAUUUGAUAUCAGAUAACUGUAGUGAACAAAAUAAAAAUGAAUACAUACCAUUAGUUGACAACAUUAAAAGAAAUAUAAAAAAAG
rnacentral:lncRNA from 1 species